UCAAGAUGAGGAUACGAUGACGAGUCAGACGAGUUUCUCACUGCUGCAUAAAACUUUAUUUUUAUUCAUUCAUGCCAAAAACUGAUU
rnacentral:snoRNA from 1 species